UCUGGUUGAUCCUGCCAGUAAUUAUAUGCUUGUCUCAAAGAUUAAGCCAUGCAUGUGUCAGUUCAGACCUUAAUACGGUGAAACCGCGAAUGGCUCAUUAAAUCAGCUAUAAUUUCUUAGAUCUUGGUGAACUUGGAUACCUGUAGUAAUUCUAGAGCUAAUACUAUCGAAAAUGCAUCAGCUUGCUGAUAGCGGAUUUAUUAGACUAAAACCAACUGCCUUCGGGUAGCAGUUUUGGUGACUCUGGAUAACUUUAACAGAUCGCAUGACCUUGCGUCGGCGACGUAUCUUUCAAGUGUCUGACCUAUCAACUGACGUUGGUGAGUUAACAGCUCACCACGGUUAUAACGGGUAACGGGGAAUCAGGGUUCGAUUCCGGAGAGGGAGCCUUAGAAACGGCUACCACAUCUAAGGAAGGCAGCAGGCGCGCAAAUUACCCACUCUCAGCAUGAGGAGGUAGUGACAAGAAAUAACAAUGUGGAACUCAUACUGAGGCUCCGCAAUUGGAAUGAGUACAGAUUAAAUCCUUUAACGAGGAUCAAUCAGAGGGCAAGUCUGGUGCCAGCAGCCGCGGUAAUUCCAGCUCUGAUAGCGUAUAUUAAUGUUGUUGCAGUUAAAAAGCUCGUAGUUGGAUCUUGGGUACGGUGUGUCGGUCUGGUAUUAUUACUAUGACUGUGCGCAUCUGCCUUUGAAAGUUGCAUGAUGCUCUGCGGUGUUCUUCAUUGAAUGCUGCACGAGUGCUGAACACGUUUACCGUGAAAAAAUCAGAGUGCUAAAAGCAGGCCUUUGUGCUUGUAUGGUGGUGCAUGGAAUAAUGGAAUAGGACUUCGGUUCUAUUUUGUUGGUUUUCGGUACUGAAGUAAUGAAAAAUAGAGACAGUUGGGGCCAUUCGUAUGGUAGCGGGAGAGGUGAAAUUCUGAGAUCGUUGCCAGACGAACUACUGCGAAAGCAUUUGGCUAGCAUGUCUUCAUUAAUCAAGAACGAAAGUUAGAGGAUCGAAGACGAUCAGAUACCGUCCUAGUUCUAACCAUAAACGAUGCCGACCAGUGAUCAGGGGUGGUCUAUAAUUAUUGACACCUCUGGUUGCCUCUGGGAAACCUCAUAGUUAGGUUCUGGGGGGAAUAUGGUCGCAAGGCAGAAACUUAAAGGAAUUGACGGAGAGGCACCACCAGGAGUGGAGCCUGCGGCUUAAUUUGACUCAACACGGGGAAUCUCACCCGGUCCGGACACUGGGAGGAUUGACAGAUUGAUAGCUCUUUCAUGAUUCAGUGAUUGGUGGUGCAUGGCCGUUCUUAGUUGGUGGAGUGAUUUGUCUGGUUAAUUUCGAUAACGAACGAGACUCUAAUCUGCUAACUAGAAGAGGAGCAUUGGUACUUCGGUGCUUUCGCUGCCUCAGUAUACUUCUUAGAGGAAUUCAGGAUUUGACAAGUCCUAAGAGAGAGAGCAAUAACAGGUCUGUGAUGCCCUUAGAUGUCCGGGGCCGCACGCGCGCUACAUUGACAGUAACAAAAAGUAUUAACACCUGUUCCGAAAGGUCCGGGUAAUCUUUGAAUUAUUGUCUCCACAGGGAUUGGGGUUUGCAAUUAUCCCCCAUGAACGAGGAAUUCCUAGUAGGCGCAAGUCAUCAGCUUGCGUCGAUUACGUCCCUGCCUCUUGUACACACCGCCCGUCGCUACUACCGAUUGAGUGGAUUAGUGAGGACUCCGGAUUGUCGGCUUGGAAGUGUAAACUGCCUUGUUGAUGAGAAGUGGUUCAAACUUGUUCAUUUAGAGGAAGUAAAAGUCGUAACAAGGUUUCCGUAGGUGAACCUUCGGAAG
rnacentral:rRNA from 1 species